UAAAAUGCGAUGACGGAGCAAAGUACAUCAUCGGAAACCAACAGGGAGAUCAGGGCAAUGAUUGAGACCCCGAUCCGGUGAAAAGUGAUGGAAGUUCUCUCCCGAGCAGUUUGGGUGAACGGAAACAAGUAGUCCAAACCGCCGGCGCUGCGAUACCAGCGCAGCCAAUCGAUGGAUCAUGGUUGGUGAAAGAGUGGGCUGAAUUUCAGCCAAUCAGGGUGGUACCGCGGAUUACCCCGUCCCUUUG
rnacentral:ncRNA from 1 species